rnacentral:rRNA from 1 species
GCUNAUUNCCCUUAUCCUGGACACAGGGAGGUAGUGACAAGAAAUAACAAUACAGGGCGAAUGUCUUGUAAUUGGAAUGAUGGUGACCCAAACCCUCACCAGAGUAGCAAUUGGAGGGCAAGUCUGGUGCCAGCAGCCGCGGUAAUUCCAGCUCCAAUAGCGUAUAUUAAACUUGUUGCAGUUAAAAAGCUCGUAGUUGUAUUUUUGCGUUGACGGUUUGACCAUUUGGUUGGUUAUUUCGUUUUCGCUUUUGGGAAUUUCCCUUUUUACUUUGAGAAAAUUAGAGUGUUUCAAGCAGACUUUUGUCUUGAAUACUUCAGCAUGGAAUAAUAGAGUAGGACUUUGGUUCUAUUUUGUUGGUUAUUGAACCUUAGUAAUGGUUAAUAGGAACGGUUGGGGGCAUUUCGUAUUUAAA